UACAGAGGGGGCUAGCGUUGUUCGGAAUCACUGGGUGUAAAGGGUGCGUAGGCGGUCAGUUAAGUCUGAUGUGAAAGCCCUCGGCUCAACUGGGGAAUGGCAUUGGAAACUAGCUGGCUGGAGUACUGCAGGGGAGACUGGAAUUCCUGGUGUAGCGGUGGAAUGCGCAGAUAUCAGGAGGAACACCGGUGGCGAAGGCGGGUCUCUGGGCAGUAAACUGACGCU
rnacentral:rRNA from 1 species